UACCCGCAGCACAAGUGGUGGUCAGUAUUAUUGGGCCUAAAGCGUCCGUAGCUGGCUUGUUAGAUGCCUGGGUAAAUCGAUGCGCUCAACGCAUCGAACUCCGGGUAGACCGGCAAGCUUGGGACCGGGAGAGGCGUGAGCUACUCGAGGGGUAGGGGUAAAAUCCUGUAAUCCUUCGGGGAGGACCAGUGGCGAAGGCGUCACGCUAGAACGGUUCCGACAGUGAGGGACGAAGCCCUGGGGCGCAAACCGG
rnacentral:rRNA from 1 species